UACGUAGGGGGCAAGCGUUAUCCGGAAUCAUUGGGCGUAAAGCGCGUGUAGGCGGUUCACCAAGUCCGCUCUGAAAGCCCAGGGCUCAACCCUGGGAGGCGGGUGGAUACUGGUGGACUAGAGUCCGGAAGAGGAGAUUGGAAUUCCUGGUGUAGCGGUGAAAUGCGCAGAUAUCAGGAGGAACACCAACAGCGAAGGCAGAUCUCUGGGACGUGACUGUCGCUGAGACGCGAAAGCGUGGGGAGCAAACAGG
rnacentral:rRNA from 1 species